rnacentral:rRNA from 1 species
AAUCAACGCUGGCGGCGUGCCUCAGACAUGCAAGUCGAACGAUUAAGACUCCUUUCGGGGAGUGCAUAAAGUGGCGCACGGGUGAGUAACACGUAAGUAAACUACACUCGAGUGGGGAAUAACAUCGGGAAACCGAUGCUAAUACCGCAUAAUGCAGCGGCACCGCAAGGAGACAGUUGUUAAAGGAGUACUUCGCUUGGGGAGGAGCUGGCGGCAGAUUAGCUAGUUGGUAAGGUAACGGCUUACCAAGGCUACGAACUGUAUCCGGCAUGGGAGGGCGGUCGGACACACUGACACUGAAUAACGGGUCAGAUUCCUACGGGAGGAAGCAGUCGGGAAUUUUGGGCAAUGGGCGAAAGCAUGACCCAGCAACGCCGCGUGAGGGAUGAAGUAUUUCGGUAUGUAAACCUCGAAAGAAUAGGAAGAAUAAGUGACGGUACUAUUUAUAAGCUCCGGCUAACUACGUGCCAGCCGCCGCGGUAAUAC